UUUUUUUUUUUUUCACUUGUUGUAUUGGCAUGAAAUUAAAAUGCACUAAAAUUUUUAAAAUCAUAUUUAUAACAGUAUUCCAAAGCAAAUAUAUUUGAUUAGAUACAUCAACAUUGUAACAAGAAAUACUUACAGAUAAAAUUAUGUCACCAUUUCAAAGUGAAGUCAGUUUACUAGCAAACUUUCUUUAAAACAUUGCGUGUGUAACAAAGAAUGCAUUAAGAUGAACAUCUUGCACUAAAGUUCAAAUUUCUAGAUUGUGCUUGAAAAGAGUUCAGCUGGCCAUGCUAACAAGGUUGGUUUUUCUCUAGGUCCUCUGACUUUCUCAUAUUAAGACCCCUCUCAUCUUUCUUCAGUGUCAAAAGACCGAUACAAUACCAUAUUUGUCCAAACAAGUGCACAGCUACUCAGGGAAAUGUUGAACAUCUUUUUAAGAAUCUAAUUUGCUUCUAUAGAAAAAAAAUGUUCACUAGAAUACUGUUCUUUAGUUAAGACCACAUCCAUAUCAUCUAUUGCCAGUAAAUGGAAACCUUCUUAUGGACUUCAAUCAAGUACACCCAUCCUCUUAACCAGAAAUAAGUUGAGGUGUGCUGAAAGGAACAGGUGCCGUUAUUGAAGAAAAUAUGUACAGACUUGCUUUUUAAAAUGGUUUUAAACUAGGUGUAUAAUACAAAAUGUACUGGAAAUAGUCAAAUGUACACGGCAUCCAGAACUUAAAGUGUUAGAUAUGUUUCUCACCCAAACAGUUCCAAAGCAUUUUUCACCCAAAUAGUUCCACAGCAAUCAUUUCAAAAUACAUUUCAAAAUACAAAGUAAAAUGUUGAUGCUGAAACAUUAUACAGGUGAGUGUAGUUACAAAACAAUCAGAGACACACAGACAGCAGUACAUCACAGCAAAGCUUGACUACUGCUAAUUGAUACUGUCAUAAAAUGUCUCAAAAAGCUAUGUGUAACUGCACAUUGAAGGCAUUAAUGUCAAGAAAAAAUGUCAAUAAAAAUCUUCAGAGUACCAUCCCACUUUUCCCUUUUCACUUGACUCCCCUUCUCAUUUAAGAAAUGGUUGCUCCCUUAAGUGAAAAUAUUUAUUUUUUUUCAAAAAUUCAUUAUACAAUAUUUUAAUAGCAAUUAAUGAGGUUUAGAGUCAUCAAACAAGUUGAGGCAACUUUUCCUUUGGGGUCUUUCUAAAAGUAAUUUUCAUUAAUGAUUGGAUUGCAUUUCCUGAAUUUUAGGAGCAAUUUCUCAAAGAGUGAUGAUGCAUAUGUUAGAUCAUUAUCUCAAAAUCAAGUUCAACAAUAAAUUAUUGAUAUAAAGGUGAAUGGUCCAAACAAAAAAUAAUCAAAAAGAAUGAUUAUAUCCAAGAUUCAGUAAGCAUUUUCAACUUUGUAUUAUAGGGACUUUAAGUUUUUGACUAUCAGUGAUUACAAUUCAAUAGCAAUGAUUUAAAGCACUAGUUAUUCAAAAUAACAGAUUUUUUUUUCAAACCGGUAAAAAAAAUUCUAGAAAAAGUAUUAUUUCACAACCAUAUUCUGGAAAAAAAGUUUUUGAAAUAUACAUGUUUUCUCUGUUAACUAAGAUGCAGAAAAUACUUUUUUUUCAGAUGUGAUAGAAAAUAGUUGUUUCAGCUAUUUUACAUUAGCGCUGCCUUGCUGGAAUGAAAAGUGCUAGUUGUAACAAAGCCUAUACAAACUACACUAGACUCACCAAAUGAUGCUGGUCCUUACACAUAGUGUGGUUUUUUUUUUAUGGUAAUGCCCUGUAUCAGCAUGCCAGCGUUAACAUGAGGAAAUUCUGGUUACCGUAUUCAACCUAGUAAGUGCACUAUGCUUAAUAAAAUCAUUUACAGAGUAAAAUCUCUUUGCGAAGUUUGGGUGGAAUUUUUUUUUUUUUUUACAUACUUUAAUAAUACAAUGGUGAAAAAUGUUUCAAUUAGCACGAUGGGUAACAUGACUUCCAGUAUAUCUUGGGUAAUCUGAAGAUGAAUUCUAAGAUACAGAAAGUAAAAUUCUAGGGAUCCCACAUCAGACAUUUUCUGUCAUACCUAAUUAGGCUGAAGUGGUUUGCAACUGGUGUGUCUCUUUUUUUCUCAAUGUCACGAAUUCUAAACGCCUCAAUAUCACGAAUUCUAAAUUGACAUUUUUGCAAGUGUGUCUGAUGACAGAUCGAUCAUUGUGGUUAUCAAAUCUGAGCCUGAUUCUCUCUCAUCCACUCAUAUCGAGAGGGAGGGGAAUACCACUAGACACACCGGCCACCUCUGGAUUCUGUUGGGAUUGAUGUUCUCAGGUAAUACUGGGGCAUUUUACCUCUAGGUAUGCUUACUAGGUUGAAUAUGGUAUAUCUGUUGGGAUUUAUGCUCUCAGGUAAUACUGGGGGCAUUUUACCUCUAGGUACGCUUACUAGGUCGAAUACGGUAUAUCUGUUGGGAUUUAUGUCCCUAGGUAAUACUGGGGGCAUUUUACCUCUAGGUACGCUUACUAGGUUGAAUAUGAUAUAUCACAAAGUAAAUAUUUAAAAAA